rnacentral:rRNA from 1 species
AAACCGUUCAGGGGUAAACCUGUGAAACCCAAAAGAUCGAAUGAGGAGAUUCAUCGUCAGCGUACUCAUAUUAAUGCAGGCUAUGAUGUGAUAAUAGAAUCCUCGUGGUCACUAGAUUAUACUUGCUUGUAUUAUUUUUCGGGUGUGUCGGCGUGCACUUCUCCUCUAGUAGAACGUCGCACCCGUUGGAUGUUUAUUUAUGGCYCGAUUNGGUAGCCUUUGAUAUAUUUAUUAUAUGAAGACCUUUUGGUGUUCUGAUAAACUGUCUGACGGUAUACAUNAUAGUAUUGAGCCGCAAUUAUUUGCGUUAGACUUCCGCAAGUAAGGCUUUAUUCUGGUAGUGCGGAUUUAAUGCCGUCGCUGGNACAAAGUCUGCUGUUAGUGGUAUCUUUAACUGGCUUAUUACUGGUUAGCGAUGCUACUGCUUGGGUACUUACGGACCC